UACGUAGGUGGCAAGCGUUGUCCGGAUUUACUGGGCGUAAAGAGCGCGCAGGCGGUCGUUCAAGUCGAGUGUGAAAGCCCCCGGCUCAACUGGGGAGGGUCAUUCGAUACUGCUCGACUCGAAGGCAGGAGAGGGAAGUGGAAUUCCCGGUGUAGUGGUGAAAUGCGUAGAUAUCGGGAGGAACACCAGUGGCGAAGGCGACUUCCUGGCCUGUUCUUGACGCUGAGGCGCGAAAGCUAGGGGAGCAAACGGG
rnacentral:rRNA from 1 species